AGUGGCGGGGUGAAUAAUCAAAGGUCAGUUCUCCACCAUCUGCCAGAUCUUUGAAAGGCCAGAUUUAUUCACUCACUGUGAUUAUGGUGUGAUUGCACAUGCCAUGAAAUCCUACUUAGGACUGCAAGAUUUCGUGAGAACUAAACCAGAGCUGGGCCUGGCCUCUCCUUGUUGUGGAAUGGCUGUUAGGAAAUCCCCUCUCCCUGAACUUCAGGCCGUGCGCGGUCCAUGGUUAAUGUCGCAUUCCUCCAUAAGCAGACGGACUGAAAGAAUUUUAAUACCUCUCUGGACCUAAAUGAUCAUUCCUUCCACAUUCUUUGUGGCUUCAUGGUGUUUAUGAUAAUUCUUGCUCGGGAUCCAAUCUCUAUAGUUUAUCCAGCUGUGCCUUUGAUGUCUGUGCUGUGGUCUCCAGGGACAGAAGUCGUGAACGAGCGGUUAGUGAGCGACACCCAAGGGGUUGUGACAUCUUUAACAUAAACUCGCCAGCAUAAGGUUUUUUCUCUGAAAUGGAUUAAGCAAUUUAUUUAGCUAUAAAACCCAGAAAACUAGUUAAGUGAAUUUUACUGGGAAAUCAAUGAAGUAAUAAUUAUGUGGUAAUAUAACUGGGACUGAGGUAACCAGCUUUGGUCUUCUUUUCUUUGUUAAUCCAUUCCUUCUAUCCUCUUUAUCCCUGUCUUUUUUGAAUAGCCACAAGUUAUUCUGAUGAGAGAACUGAAAAUGCAUAUUGGGAAAUCUUUGAGCAUAUUAACUUUUGUACAGUGAAAUCUUUCUUUCUUGUCUUUGCAAUAGAUGCAAAAAAGAACCCAUCCAGAAUUCAUUAACAAAAACAUUAUCUCAGACUCAUAUUUUUGGAUUCUGUUAAAUUUUCCCCAUUUAUAUUUCAUAGAAUGCCAUCCUAAUCCUAUCUGAGGCAUGCCUGUAAGCUAAAGAUAAAUAUGUAAAACUUACCUUUGAAUUGAAUGGUGUCUAACUAUUGCUGCUUUAAAAAAUAAUAGCAAGCCCCUUGACAUUAUCCUCAGCAGAGCUUCAGAAUUUGCAUGAAGGCUGCAGAUAUUACAGUUACAUAGGAAGCUUUUUCUUCUGAUAAUUAGACACAAAUUAAUUAAAAAUAAACUUCAGUUGUUAGGCUGUUAUAAAUAUUAAGAGAUGAUAAAUUGCUAGAAAAAAACAGAUCUUCAUACAUCAGUUAGUUCACACUUGCAUUUUAGAGUAGAUUAGUUAGAUAAAGUAGUGAGCACAUUAAAGGCUUAAAUGGUUUUCAAAGUUCUUUUGCUUUCUAAAAAAUGAUGGGAAAAAAGCCCCAGACUCAUCAGUUAUGUGCUGCAUAUUAUUUCUCACAGAAGAAUCCUCCUGAAAGCCAGAUCAUAUUGUACAUAUUACCGAUCUAUUUGCAUUUAGGAAUUUCAUUCCUGUGUGUGAACAGAACACACACAUCUGAAUUCCAGGGAAAUUAAAAAGGGUAGGACUGAAGGUCUUUUAAAGAUAAUUUCCUUUCUUUUUCUGCAGCCUGAAAUGUCUCCAGGAAUCAAGUCUGUAGUCAGCAGGAAUGAGACUGAAAUGAUACACUGAAUAAUAAAAAUGACCCCAGCAGUAGUAACAUGAAGGAUGUGCAGAACUGCGACACUGCAGACAAGUGCUGCUGUCACCUGUUUUGUGAGUGCAAGAUGCUCCACACCCACGUUGGAAUCAGCAGAGGAGUCUCCCCAGAGGUGUGGUCCCCUGGGAGCUGGCUGUCUGGCUGUGGUUUUACACAUUCAGCCAGCUCAGACAUCUGAAUGCAAAAUUCCACACUUGGGGGUGAGAUGCAGAUGUUGUGCUCUUCUCUGGGGAGUUCCAGGUCUAUAAAACAAUGGAUGGAUUUCACAGUACUCAUCCAUAUAUGUAGCCUUUGAUCUGUGACAGAUGUGAUAUUGAUAAUAUCCUCCAUUCAAUAAGUCCUCCAGGUAUAAUUUUGUGCCAGGUUAAAUUUCUGAUUUAACUGUUGAAGAGCCUACUGUGUGAAAUGCUGUUCUGUAGAACUGACUGGGGAGCAUGACCAUGCUCAGACACAAGUCUGGGGUUACAUAGCUCUGCUGCAGACUUUGGCCCUAAUCCUUCCCACACACCUCUUAUUUGAGUGUAAAUCCAGUAGUUCUCAUUUCCCAGCUGAUCCCUUGUAUUUUUUAUGUGGCUGGUUAGCUCAGAGACCUCACAUCCUGUUCCCCUGCAGGGAUACUGCAUGGAUUUUGUGCUGUUAUCUGAGUCUGAAAAAUGAUGAGCUGAAAGGCAGCUUAAACUCUUUGUGUAUAAUAGUGGAAGAUUUGUUUCACCCUCCCAUUUCUCUUGUACACUGUGAAAGCUGUGCUUUCCCUUGAAGGUUCAUUGGUCUGAGAAACCAUUAGAUUGGACUAAUCUCUAUACAAAAAAGUAAAAAAAAACCCAUGCUCUGAGGGCACUGGAUAUGAACAAUCUCAGGCAUAGCCUUGUGACUGAGGGAAAUCUGUUUGGCCCUGAUGGGACAGGGGGAAGGAUGAUGGGGGAAGGAUGGCUGUGCAGUGAGGAGAGGCCUGUGAUACAGAGCAAAGAGUCCUGCUCCUCCUGUCUCUCAAUGAACAGGAGUCCUGUCCCUUGCUCGGUGGUGUGCAUGUUGUUGAUUCUUAAUAUGUAAUUACAAAUGCACAGGAGGAAAGGAGCAGGGAAUGUUUGGUUUGCAAAUGCUGGUAUCUGUUUCAAAGUUGCUCCUCAUGUGACUUUAACUGGAGGGCAGGUCAAGAGUGGUCCAAGGAGGGAAGAAUCCAAAUUGAUGGGAAAAUAUUACUGCCCCAUGAAUGCUUGCUGCUGUGGUUGCACCAAUGCCAGCAGGAAUGUGCUGGUAGAGCAUCUGUGUUGUACCAGUCAAGAAUUUGGCAGCAGGUAUCCUAGCGAGCUCAUUCUCAGGUCACUUUUUCAAACAGCUAUACCAGCAAUGGAUAGAAAACUGCCUGAAAAAAUUUAGAUUAUUCUUCUUUGCCUUAUUUCCAUAGAAUAUGCUCUGUGUCAAAAA